rnacentral:rRNA from 1 species
UACGAAGGGGGCUAGCGUUGUUCGGAAUUACUGGGCGUAAAGCGCACGUAGGCGGGAUGUUAAGUCAGGGGUGAAAUCCCGGGGCUCAACCCCGGAACUGCCUUUGAUACUGGCAUUCUCGAGUCCGGAAGAGGUGAGUGGAAUUCCGAGUGUAGAGGUGAAAUUCGUAGAUAUUCGGAGGAACACCAGUGGCGAAGGCGGCUCACUGGUCCGGUACUGACGCUGAGGUGCGAAAGCGUGGGGAGCAAACAGG